CCUACGGGAGGCAGCAGUGGGGAAUAUUGCACAAUGGGGGAAACCCUGAUGCAGCAACGCCGCGUGAGUGAAGAAGUAUUUCGGUAUGUAAAGCUCUAUCAGCAGGGAAGAAGAAAGACGGUACCUGACUAAGAAGCCCCGGCUAACUACGUGCCAGCAGCCGCGGUAAUACGUAGGGGGCAAGCGUUAUCCGGAUUUAUUGGGUGUAAAGGGUGCGUAGACGGGAAUUUAAGUUAGUUGUGAAAUCCCUCGGCUCAACUGAGGAACUGCAACUAAAACUGGAUUUCUUGAGUGCUGGAGAGGAAAGCGGAAUUCCUAGUGUAGCGGUGAAAUGCGUAGAUAUUAGGAGGAACACCAGUGGCGAAGGCGGCUUUCUGGACAGUAACUGACGUUGAGGCACGAAAGUGUGGGGAGCAAACAGGAUUAGAUACCCUGGUAGUC
rnacentral:rRNA from 1 species